rnacentral:rRNA from 1 species
AACGAACGCUGGCGGCAUGCCUAACACAUGCAAGUCGAACGAGACCUUCGGGUUUAGUGGCGCAAGGGCGCGUAACGCGUGGGAACAUGCCCUAAUGUUCGGAAUAACUCCCCGCCAGGGCUGCUAAUACCGGCUAAUGUCUUCGGACUAAGGAUUUAUCGCCCUGGGGUGGGCCCGCGUUGGAUUAGCUAGUUGGUCGGGUAAAGGCCUACCAAGGCGAGGCUGCAUAGCUGGUUUGAGAGGAUGUGCGGCCACACUGAGACUGAGACACGGCAGAGAUUCGUACGGUAGGAAGCAGUGGGGAAUAGUGAACAAUGGGCGAAGGGCUGAUGCAGCAAGGCCGCGUGAGUGAUGAAGGCCUUGAGGGUGUAAAGCUCAUUUACCCGGGAGGGUAAUGACAGUACCGGGAGAAUAAGCUCCGGCUAACUACGUG